UGUUUAUCAAAAACAUGUCUUAUUGAUAAUAAUUUUAAGUCUGACCUGCCCAUUGAUAAUUUUAACGGCCGCGGUAUCUUGACCGUGCUAAGGUAGCAUAAUCAUUAGUUUUUUAAUUAAAAGCUGGAAUGAAUGGUUGAAUAAGAAAAUAGCUGUCUCUAAUUAAUUUUAAUUGAAUUUUAUUUUUAAGUAAAAAAGCUUAAUUAUUUUUAAAAGACGAGAAGACCCUUUAGAGUUUUAUAGAUUGAAUAUUUUUAAAUUUUUAGGAAUAUAAGUUUAAAUAAAUUUAUUUAUUUGGUUGGGGUGAUAGAAAAAUUUAAAAAACUUUUUUUUUAUAAAAUCAUAAAUUUAUGAAAAUUUGAUCCAUAAAAAUGAUUAAAAGAAUAAAUUACCUAAGGGAUAACAGCGUAAUCUUUUUGGAGAGUUCAAAUCGAAAUAAAGGAUUGCGACCUCGAUGUUGGAUUAAAAUUUAUUNUNGGUGAAGAGGCUAAAAU
rnacentral:rRNA from 1 species